rnacentral:rRNA from 1 species
UACGGAGGAUGCGAGCGUUACUCGGAAUCACUGGGCGUAAAGAGCGUGUAGGCGGGUAUAUAAGUCAGAUGUGAAAUCCCGGGGCUCAACCUCGGACCCGCAUUUGAAACUUUCUUUCUAGAGGGUAGAUGGAGAAAACGGAAUUCCACGUGUAGCGGUGAAAUGCGUAGAUAUGUGGAAGAACAUCCGUGGCGAAGGCAAUCCCCUGGGUCGACACUGACGCUCAUGCACGAAAGCGUGGGGAGCAAACAGG